rnacentral:rRNA from 1 species
UACGUAGGGUGCAAGCGUUGUCCGGAAUUAUUGGGCGUAAAGAGCUCGUAGGCGGUCUGUCGCGUCGGCUGUGAAAACCCGAGGCUCAACCUCGGGCCUGCAGUCGAUACGGGCAAACUAGAGUACUGCAGGGGAGACUGGAAUUCCUGGUGUAGCGGUGAAAUGCGUAGAUAUCGGGAGGAACACCAGAGGCGAAGGCGGGUUACUGGGCUGAUACUGACGCUGAUGCGCGAAAGCUAGGGGAGCAAACGGG